rnacentral:lncRNA from 1 species
GUGGCUCAAGGGGAUUGGAGGCUGCAGUCACUGUUUUGUCUCUACUGAUGGCCAGGCAGACACAUGGAAAAGUGAAGCAGCUUUUUAUGGAUGGACAGGACCCCGAGGGCACGCAGCACCUGCAACCCUGUGGGCCUGCACCUGGUGGCCCUCUGAAUGCUUGUGCCGCUGUUUGUGGGGCCACGGCAGGCACUCAGGACGUGCAGUGUGAGCUUUGUCUCUGAGAAGGGGCCGGCAUAACUCUUGCAGGAUCAGCUCAGCCCCUGCCGGGGAAUCCCAGGAGGAGCCUGUGAAGGGCCCAGUCCUGGCUCCCCACUGUGAAGCGAGAGCCUCUGAGGCUGCGGGGCUCCAGGCCAGUGAAUGGAUUUCCUAGGUCAUAAGAUCCCCCUUAAGUCCCAACCCUGGCAGGGAACUGAGGGCCAGGGCCAGGCCGGGCGAGGCCUGGUAAGACGGCGCCGGGCAGCUCUUAAGGCUCACAAGUUCUCUUUCCUCAUCCUACACGUUUCUUCACGCCCCGCCUUUUCUGAGUUAGUUUGAAUU